rnacentral:lncRNA from 1 species
UUGGUGAGUUGCCGGAGGCUAGCUUUGGAGCUACCUCGUCGUUUGCUUUCAGAUUCUUAGUGUGUCGCCUCUAAUUAGUGUAUCUGUCUGUUAUAUAGAUUCUAUGACUUUUCGAGAUUCUUAGUUUGGAGCUACUUUGGAGGUUUUGUUUAGAUGUUGAUGAGAUGCAAUGAUAUUAUUAUUUCGCUGUGAUGUUUUGAAAAAUUAAUUAUGCAUGUUAAUUCCAAAGUCCUAAAACCUACAUCAUCAAAAAUUAAUUGCUUUGGAGCUUUAUACAUCUUUAAUGCAUGUUGAUGAGAUGCAAUGAUAUUAUUAUUU